CUACUUGCAGGGGAGAUGCCAUGAUCAUGAAGGUGGUUUUCUUAGGGUGAGCCUUAUUCAUUGCACUCUGGAUGUGCUCACCCCUGCAAUUCCCCCAAAUGUGGGAAACUCAGCUGCAUAAUUUGUGGUAGUGGGGGACUGUGUUCACACUGCCCCUG